CCAAUCGAACCCGGAGAUAGCUGGUUCUCCUCGAAAUAGCUUUAGGGCUAGCCUCAUGGAUCAUUGGUGGGGGUAGAGCACUGAAUGUGCGCGGGGGCCACAAAGCCUACCAAACGCUAUCAAACUUCGAAUACCAUACAAUGCAGACCAUGGGAGUCAGUCCGCGAGAGAUAAGUUCCGCGGGCAAAAGGGGAACACCCCAGAUCAACCGCUAAGGUCCCCAAGUUCACGUUAAGUGGAGAAGGAUGUGGAAUUGCACAGACAACCAGGAUGUUGGCUCAGAAGCAGCCACACAUUUAAAGAGUGCGUAAUAGCUCACUGGUCGAGUGAUUGUGCGCCGAAGAUGUCCGGGGCUAAACGUGACACCGAAGCGAUGGGUGCGUCUGAAGAAGAUGCGCGGUAGAGGAGCAAUGUGCAGAGGCAGAAGCCGUAUCGAGAGGCACGGUGGACACUGCACAAGAGAGAAUGCCGGUAUGAGUAGCGAGAGGCAUGCGAGAAACAUGCCCGUCGAAAGCCCAAGGUUUCCUGGGGAAGGUUCAUCCGCCCAGGGUAAGUCGGGGCCUAAGCCGAGGACGGAAGUCGUAGGCGAUGGACAGCAGGUGUAGAUUCCUGCACUACCGAUGGAAUGAAGCAGUGACACAGAAGGAUAACUCGAGCAGGGUGAUGGUCAACCCUGUGCAAGCAUCAAGGUUGGGUUGUAGUGAAGUACGCAAUCCUAUAAGCUGAGAUGUGAUGCGGACCGAAAUUUCAGUAGGGAAGCGAGUGAGUUCACGCUGGCGAGAAAAGCUGCUAGUACAUCCAAAGGUACCCGUACCGGAAACCGACGCAGGUGGGCGAGGAGAGAAUCCUGAGACGAACGGGAGAACCCUUGUUAAGGAACUCGGCAAAAUGACCCCGUAACUUCGGGAUAAGGGGUGCCUGCGAGAGCAGGCCGCAGAGAAUAGUCACAAGCGACUGUUUAGCAAAAACACAGGUAUCUGCGAAAGCGAGAGCUGACGUAUAGGUGCUGACACCUGCCCGGUGCUGGAAGGUUAAGGGAACAUGUUAGAGCAAUCGAAGCAUCGAACCGAAGCCCCAGUAAACGGCGGCCGUAACUAUAACGGUCCUAAGGUAGCGAAAUUCCUUGUCGGGUAAGUUCCGACCCGCACGAAUGGUGUAACGACUUGUGAGCUGUCUCAACAGGGGGCCCGGUGAAAUUGAAGUAUGGGUGAAGAUGCCCAUUACCCGCGACUGGACGGAAAGACCCCGUAGAGCUUUACUGCAGCCUGAUAUUGAGUUUCGGUAACUGAUGCACAGGAUAGGUGGGAGUCUGAGAGACAUGGGUUUCGGCUCAUGUGGAGACGAUGUUGGGAUACCACUCUUCGGUUACUGAAAUUCUAACAUAGCUCUGUGAAACCAGAGGAUGGACAGUGUCAGGUGGACAGUUUGACUGGGGCGGUCGCCUCCGAAAGAGUAACGGAGGCGCCCAAAGGUACCCUCAGAAUGGAUGGAAACCAUUCGAAGAGCGCAAAGGCAGAAGGGUGCCUGACUGCGAGAGUGACAACUCGAGCAGAGACGAAAGUCGGGCUUAGUGAUCCGGCGGUAUUGAGUGGAAAAGCCGUCGCUUAACGGAUAAAAGCUACCUCGGGGAUAACAGGCUGAUCUCCCCCAAGAGUCCACAUCGACGGGGAGGUUUGGCACCUCGAUGUCGGCUCAUCGCAUCCUGGGGCUGAAUUCGGUCCCAAGGGUUUGGCUGUUCGCCAAUUAAAGCGGCACGCGAGCUGGGUUCAGAACGUCGUGAGACAGUUCGGUCCCUAUCCAUCGUGGGCGUAGGAGUCAUGAGAGGAGCUGUUCCUAGUACGAGAGGACCGGAAUGGACGCACCACUGGUGCAACUGUUGUCGUGCCAACGGCAUAGCAGGGAAGCGAAGUGCGGAUGGGAUAAACGCUGAAGGCAUCUAAGCGUGAAGCCCACCUCAAGAAUAAGACUCCACAAUAGACCCCUGGAGGACUACCAGGUAGAUAGGUCAUCGGUGGAAGCGCUGUAAGGCGUGUAGCUUGAUGAUACUAAUCGGUCGAAAGCUUCAUUUA
rnacentral:rRNA from 1 species